GCAAGCUUAAUUGUUGUAUAAUUUACAUGCGAUAGUAAUGUGCCAAUUGAGGAAAUGUGUGGUAUACUAAUUUUGAGGAUGAAUUGCUUUCCAUUAAUUGUAAAAAGAUUUUGAAGUUGGUGACUUCGUAGCAUUGAAAUGCAUAGCUGUGUUGCGAAGUAAGAAAAUAAAUAAAAGAAGAGAUACAGGGGAAAUUUUGUGGUGAAUUACGUAAUUAAGUUUUGAAGAUUCUGUAGAUGACGCAAAUUUAAUUGGUAAUUUUGAUUAUCAAAAUUCUUGAUAAUGCCCAAUGUGGACUUGCAAGUGCAGAGG
rnacentral:misc_RNA from 1 species